rnacentral:misc_RNA from 1 species
AUUGAUUGGGGGGUUUUGAGGUUUUUCUGGCUGGACUUGAGGGGGCAAUGCUAGAGUAGACGUUUGAGAUUUUGUUGGUUUGCAACUGUUCUGGUUAGAAUAAUUGGUUAGAUAGUGAUGUCUAUGAACAACAAUAACCCGCCGAAGAGCCUUGGGGUGGCUUCUUCUUCGCCUUUUGGAAAUUCUGGGAUGGUUCCACCAUCUAUGGCAGCAAAU